rnacentral:rRNA from 13 species
UGUUAGGUUUGGUCCUGACCUUAGUGUUAAUUGCAACUAAAAUUAUACAUGCAAGUUUCAGCCCCCCUGUGAGAAUGCCCUAAGUAUUCUAUUAAAUAAUUAGGGGCGGGCAUCAGGCACACAUUUUACAUGUGGCCCAAGACGCCUUGCUCAGCCACACCCUAAGGGUUUUCAGCAGUAAUAAACAUUGAUUACAUAAGCGUAAGCUUGAAUCAGUUAAAGUCGACAGAGUUGGUAAAUCUCGUGCCAGCCACCGCGGUUAUACGAGUGACUCACAUUAACACUUCCCGGCGUAAAGUGUGAUUUAAGGAUGACCUCCAAAUAACUAUAGUUAUGACCUCAUCAAGCUGUUAUACGCAUUCGUGAACGGAAUAAUCAACAACGAAAGUGACUCUAAAUUACCAGGAAUCUUGAUGUCACGACAGUUGGGCCCCAAACUAGGAUUAGAUACCCUACUAUGCCCUACCAUAAACUUAGACAAUACCCUACUAUAUUGUCCGCCAGAGUACUACAAGCGCUAGCUUAAAACCCAAAGGACUUGGCGGUGCCCCACACCCACCUAGAGGAGCCUGUUCUAUAACCGAUAAUCCCCGUUAAACCUCACCACUUCUUGCCAUUACCGUCUAUAUACCGCCGUCGUCAGCUCACCCCGUGAGGGUUAAAAAGUAAGCAAAAAGAAUUAAACUCCUAAACGUCAGGUCGAGGUGUAGCGAAUGAAGUGGAAAGAAAUGGGCUACAUUUUUUUACCAAAAAAUACGGACAGUAAACUGAAAAAUUACCCAAAGGUGGAUUUAGCAGUAAGAGAAGGUCAGAGUACUUCUCUGAAACUGGCUCUGGGGCGCGCACACACCGCCCGUCACUCUCCUCAAUAAAUACACUUAUUUUUAUAAAAAUUUUACCAAAACAAGAGGAGGCAAGUCGUAACAUGGUAAGUGUACUGGAAAGUGCACUUGGAACCAA